rnacentral:rRNA from 1 species
UACCAGCACCCCGAGUGGUCGGGACGAUUAUUGGGCCUAAAGCAUCCGUAGCCGGUCCUACAAGUCUUCCGUUAAAUCCACCUGCUUAACAGAUGGGCUGCGGAAGAUACUAUAGGGCUAGGAGGCGGGAGAGGCAAGCGGUACUCAGUGGGUAGGGGUAAAAUCCUCUGAUCCAUUGAAGACCACCAGUGACGAAGGCGGCUUGCCAGAACGCGCUCGACGGUGAGGGAUGAAAGCUGGGGGAGCAAACCGG